rnacentral:rRNA from 1 species
GACGAACCGAGCGAACGUUAUUCGGAAUCACUGGGCGUAAAGCGCACGUAGGCGGACUCUUAAGUCGGUGGUGAAAUCCUGGAGCUCAACUCCAGAACUGCCUUCGAUACUGGGAGUCUCGAGUUCGGGAGAGGUGAGUGGAACUGCGAGUGUAGAGGUGAAAUUCGUAGAUAUUCGCAAGAACACCAGUGGCGAAGGCGGCUCACUGGCCCGAUACUGACGCUGAGGUGCGAAAGCGUGGGGAGCAAACAGG